UGACAGUAAGUGUGGGGCUUCCUAUACCCUGUGAAUUAUUCUAGUAAGUGAUUGACCUGGAGAGGGUCACGGGGACUCUUGGAUUUGCAGUCACAUGGUCAGAAGGGCAGGUGGCCUGGGGAUCUCUGAGCUUGUAGCUGGUAGUCUGAGUGACAGGAACCUACCUGUGGACUUGACCUAACUCUGCAUGGCUAAUGCCACGGUUGCACUGUAGGCCGGUGAAACCUGGGCGCCUGUUUGUGCCUGGUGUCCAGUCCCGCGUGACAGGUGCCUAUCAGCAUACCUGAGAAUAAGCAGCGAAUUAAGAAGUCAAAGUGGCAUCCUGCAGGGUUCUGGCCCACGGGAGGGUAGAGGCUUCUGUUCACCGUGAGGCCUCAAGGUCUGAGCACUUCUUGCUCCCAGAGGAUCAUGGGAGCUGAGCCAGGUGGGGUUUGGGGCCCAACAACCUCCCUCCUUGCUGUUGAGUCUCAGGAUGGCGUUUCUUGUCUUUUUCUUUUUCCUGCAGCCUGCACUGGUGUGUCACUUCCCGACAGAGUCGCCCUAGAGAGCUCUUGGUAUGUCUUUGUCAUCGCUCAAAGUCCUGCAAAGAACAGAGUGUCCCGGCCCAUCUCCACGCCUGGCUUCUUGUUCUGUCCCUUUCUGCUCCCAGCCAGCCCGGGGCGCAAGCCGACUGUUCAGAAGAGGGAUGAUUAGCUACCAGCGUUGCUUCUGAAACUGCCUCUCCGAACGUCCUCGAACGUCCUCCCUCCUCCGCUGUUUAUUGUUUGCCCACUAUCAAAUGUUCCCCCAGCUGUGGCAGCCCAAGUUCAAAGCCGGCCCCUGGCAACAGAGCGUGUCCCUGGAGGGUUUUCCGCAGAGCUGAUAAAUGCCCACGUGUGGCUCUUGCCAGCAGCUGCCCCCUCUGUUGGGUUCUUCAAGGCAAAUCAGAAUCUGCCCGAGAGAAAUCAUAGAUCUCAGCAUUGCACCGUGCUCUCAGCCUUGGGCCGCGCAGACUUGCUCCUGCAAAGCCAGGAGAGCCAGAGUGGUGUCCCCGUGGGCCCUGCUGAGGGUCUUGUGUAGUCUACCCCGGGCAAGGCAGAGGCCUGCAGGGUGGUGAGCAGCCUGGCCCUGACCUCACGGCAAGCAGCCUCCAUCUCCUGUGUGUUACCCGAUCCCACAAACUGACAAGCAGUAAAGAAGGACUCCCGCGCGGGAAGCUGGGGGCCGGGUAGAGUCUGUCAGAAUGGAAUUUUUCGGGGUCAGACGCAGCUCACUGAAGACUGCAAUUAGUGGGCAGACAGAAAAGCCUCGUCAGCUGGGGCCUGGCUUGUUUUGCAUCUGCUGAGCGGUGCUCAUCGCCUCAUGGAACAACACAGACGCG
rnacentral:lncRNA from 1 species